CAGAGGAAGAGAGCACAACAGGAUGGGAAACCUCCCUUGUCCAAAGGCUACACCUGUUAGAGAAGCAGGUAGGGAGAGUCUUGGGCAGGUGACAGCAAACAGCAGAAGCAUGAGUAACUGGAGAUUUCCAAACUGAGGCUUAGUGCGGUAGCAAGCACUUGUUGGACACUUGGCUCACCAAGCUGCCUUGGGGCCUCAGACCUCGUGCCUUAGACCUUACAAACAGAUAUAUUUAGGUCUCUGAUUCAUACAUGUGUGUACACACAGUUUCUCACUAUCCUUAGACAAAUGUGCACACGUGCACAAAGUUAGAGGCCUCACAGUCAGCUGAGCACACUCCUUUACUGAGACUUGCUGUCCUGACUUAGAUCUUAUUAGCUGUAAGACCUUGGGCAAGGUAAACUCUCGGAUCCUUAGUUUUCUCCUCUGAAAAAUGAGGAUAAUAUUAUUUAUAUCAUAGAAGUCACUGUCACCCAGUAGAGAGAAUAGUGACAGCUGCCCUGGGGACACUCAAGCAAAUCCCUUGUAUUUACCCCACAUUGGACUGUCAGUAUAACAGAAAAGCCCAGGAUGAGAUGAGACAUCCUUGCUGUCCACUAGCUUCACCCCACCCCGACAUUAUGAUGCAUUGGGCUCCAUGAAGGAGAAUACACAUUUAUUGAGUUAAACUUAUUUGUUAGGAGGCAAGGGAGAGGCAGUCCUAAAAAAGUGUUCAUCCUGUGGCCCAGCAGUCCUGCUCAUCACAGCAGUAUUGUUCAAGAAAAGCAGGACCUGAGCCUCCCUGCUUUAGCUAAUUCCCUGGUCCUGGGAGAGCAAAGCCUUCCCAGGAUAGGAAAGAUGGGGAUCAUGUUUUCCCCAUCAAGUUGCAUUCAUCUGUCUAUCUGUCUGUCAGUUCAUCCAUACAUCCAUGUAAUCAGUAAAAACCAAGUGCCUACUGUGAGGCAGUAUUGUUUUAAAUGCUAGCAGCAGAAACAAAGAAUUAUGAAAUGAAACCCCUGACAUUUAUGUAUGUAUGGUCUGGUAAAUAGUAUGCUGCAUACUGCAUAGAUUUUUGGAACCAAGAGACCCAGAUUCAAAUCCCAGUUCUAUCAUUGACCAGUGCAUGGCCGUGCGACAAAUCACUUAGCAUAUAUUCUCCUUAGCAUUCUCUUCUGUAAAAUGGGGCUAAUAAUGCCUACAUUUCAAGAUUUCUAAGGGGAUUACAUGAGGUAACAUGUAAAGCACUGAGCCUGAGUUAGAUGCUGAUGAAAUAGGUUCCACUCCAGGUCCUCUAAAAGCAUGCCUGGAGUUAGAAGAUGAUGGUGUUGAGAACAUUCUAGGGGGUACAGUAGUUCUUACUGCAGUGAGAUCACUGUUCACUUGGCCAUAUUUCCUCUCAAUCCAGGACUCUUCCCAGUAUGGAAACAGUCCAGUCUUAGCUAGAAUUUCUAGGAUUCCUUCUUUUUGCAAAGACAGGGUUUCUGGCCUCAGAAUUUUCCAGUUGGACUGAAUAAGGGGAUAAGGAUGGCUCAAAGUUAAGCCAAUGAGACUCAGACCAGAGGCAUCGAGGUAAGGGCAGGGAGGAAUGAGGCAGAGAGGACUUUCUCUUUGGGGGAAAAAUCAAGCUCCACUCCCUGGGGAGAGAGGGAAAGAGAGUCAGGCUAGGUAAAAGGGUGAAUUUGGAGCUGCUGGAUAUUUUGUUUUCUAGUAGCUGUAACUAGGUAGUCUCCUGGACUCUAGUAACCCCUUUGUGAUAAACUCUAUAAUCAAUACAUUUUGGACCCAAUAUUCAGAGACAGGGCAGGCACAGCAAUGCAGAUGGCACCGUGACAGUUGGGCAUGGGGGUAACACAAAUG
rnacentral:lncRNA from 1 species